GUUAGGACUUACUGUAUUUGAUUUGUAUACAAAGGCUAUGGGAUUAUAUUUACUCCCUCACAACAGUCCUAUGAGGUAAGUAUAGGACCCCUAUUUCUCAUAGGAGGCUCUGUAGCUUAGACAAGUGAAGCAACAAGCUAAGGUCACAUAUGCUGAGAGAUGAACCAAAGUCUGACCAACUCGGGAUCCUGCCAUGCUAAGUGCUCUUUGUCCUCUACUAACUGCUGACAGUUAAGCUACAUAUUAAAGAAUGAAGAGUUCACGAGAUGGGACCAUCUAGUUGCAGGAAAACAAGCUCAGGGCUUCACUGAUUCUACAUUAUGCACAUACAGGCGUGUGUGAGUAUGUGUAAACAACAAACACUGAACCUGAUCCCGUGCGACUCAAAGUCCAGUCCUCUGACCAGUAGCACCAGCAACAGCUGGGAGCUUGUCGGAAAUACAGACCCUCAGGUCCCGCCCCGAACUGACUGAAUCAGACUCUGCUGUUUAACAAAAUCCCCGAGUGAUUCAUAGAGAUACUAAAGUUUGAGAAGCCCUGCUCUAAAUAAUCUCGUUUGCUUUCAACACAACCCUGGAGCAUUCAGACACAACACAGAGAUAAGAGGAAUUGAGAAAUUUGUGAAAAUGGAAAAGAAACUGAUCAUCUGAUCAUGUGUCCAAUCUCUACUACAGGUUUUGAGCUUGAAUUAGGCUCAUAUUGUCAAAAAGAGAGAAGCUUCACUUGCAUGAGAAAUUGAAGUUUUUAUGUUAGAUUUAUCUUCAUCCUUUUUAUGUUGCUAUAACAGAAUACCUGAGACUUGGGAGUUUACAAGAAAAGAGAUUUCUUUAGCUCGUGAUUCUGACAACUGGAAAAUUCAAGAUCAGGCAGCUGCAUCUGGUGAGGGCCCCAUGCUGCUUAAACUCAUGGCAGAAAGUGGAAGGGGAGCUGGCAUGUGCAAAGAGAUGACAUGGUGGGAGGAAGGAAAAGAUUGGAACUGAGGAAGCCAGACUCUUUUUAACAACCUGCUGUCAGGAAAUAAUCCAUUCCUGCAAGAGGAAGAACUCACUUGCCCCCACAGGAGGCCAUUAAUCUACUCAUAAGAGAUCUGCCCAAUAACCCAAAUACCUCCCACUAGGCCCCACCUCCCAACACUUCCACAUUGGAGAUCAAAUUUCAGCAUGAUCUUUGGCAGAGACAAACCAAAUCAUAGCAAGACUGGACUCGGGUUUUUAAAAACUUAUAGAAAUUUUCGAACAUACGAAAAUAGAAUAGUAUAAUGAACUUCCAUGUCCUUAUCACCCAGCACACUACCCUGAUAUUCUACAUAUUAAAAAUUUGGAGCACAAGUAUACUUGACUAUUUUAAUACCUAAAUGUGAUGACUUCAUUUUGAUGUUUAAUCACUGGCAGCUUUCAGGCCCCACGCUUCUUCCUUCCCCUUUUACCUCACCCGGAAGCCAAUAAGAAAGCCUAGGAUUCUCCCUCAUGUGAUUGUACAAAUUCCAUAGGUUUUCUGGUCUCUUUUAGAUGACAUAAACAGUCUUAUUUUUAGUGUUCUGUGGGUGCCCUGUUAGGGAAGGAUCAAUUCCCCACUCAAUAUCAUUUUGGGUAUCAGGACUGAUGGUGUUAUACAUGCACCCAGAGGGUAUGAAUAUUACUCAUAUAAUGAAACUCUAGGGAGAAUAUGGCAGGUAUUCAAGCUCUUCUGGAAUGGCUUGAGUCAAGAGAAGAGCAAGUACUUUGGAUUUUUAUUAUAGUUAGGGGAUGGAGCCUGGGUGAGUUUCACAUAGCUCAGGGAUUACCUCCUCUACCCACAGGCAUCACCUCAGGGUAUCCAUGCUUCUUGUGCCUACACCUUCUCCUGGCUGGCUGAGUGUUCUGGAAGUCUAAGCGCAGAGAGAUAAAAGUUUCUGCAGAGAGCAGUUUCUUCCAGCAGAACAGUGCUGUGCCAGAACACUGAGGCCAGCAGUGGCAUGGCACUUUUCCCAGGAUCAGCUCUCACUGGGAACACUGAAUAUAUAUUAUAAAUUAUACCUUUUCAUAGAUGAAUUUCUAGGAAAAUUUUAUUCCCUAUUUUCAUGAGUUGUUCCUCCCUAACGAUAGAUGUUAAAGGCUCUAAUUGUCC
rnacentral:lncRNA from 10 species